UUAAAUCACUAUAAUCGGAGCUGCCUCCCUGAUUAUGCUAUUUUUGUUUUCCUUUAUAUCUAUUUAUCCGCUCCUGUAUUUCUUUUGCCUGUCCCCCUCCUUCCUCCCUGCCUUCGGUAUGCCGUACAUUUCGAUACCUCGCAAUUUCAGUACGCAGCGAGAUCCCGCAUGAUAUACACGCUAUUUCUACGUCUCAAAAUUAUAAUUGAUUUGAAGUGCUACUAUUAACAUUAACAUUGCUAAUUGACUGCGUUCGAACACCUAUUCUGUGCUAUCAUUUGAAAAAAUUUGACGGAUUUUAUACGCCGUGCAAGGCUUAAUUGGUAUGCAGUAUCUCUGUCCUAUGCUUGUUUGCCACUGCUUUUUGCACCGCUUUUCACACAGUCGCGAUCCCUGUGUUUCUUGGAAGGAUUUUCCAGUAGUUCCCUGAAGCGUUCUUCGAUGGACUGACUUCUUUUUGGACGGAUUAAAACGAAAAUUGUAGCCACACGAGGACACGAGCGCAG